ensembl:lncRNA
ACUUCCCUUUUGGUGUUUAGUGGAGAGUAGUGUGCUUGGAAGCUGGGGAUCUCUGUGGGCCUGUGUGCUUUGCUGCUGCUGAGCAGGGCUUUAAUAGUAAACCAAAGGUGUCAGAUUCCUUUCCACUCAAAUCUUAAAGGCUCGUUUUCAGGCAUUUCUCUCUUUGAUUCUUUUUCCUUAAAAAACAAACAACCUACCAGAUCUAAGAUCCAUGCAGUGUCAGAUUUGCGUGUGUGUCCCUUGGCUAAGUGUGUGGGCAAGACAGGGUGUGGUGCACGUGUGUCUCUGCAUAUUUCUGUGUACGCGGUGUGCAGCUGUGUGGGGACAGAGACUUGCUUCGACAUGAGCCUGUCUGAGGCAGCCCAAGUGAGGGCCUUGGAGUCGGAGGGAGCUGCAUUCAGCUUCUAGCUGUGUGAUCUGGGACAAGCACAAUUUCUUCGACCCUCCGUUUCCUCACCUGUGACAUGGAAGUGAGACCAGGCUCUAUGCACAGGUUGUUGGAAGAAUAAAACGAGAUAAUGCCCAUCGCCCUUGGCAGAGUGCAGGCGCUCAGCAUGAGUAGCGUUAUCAUCAGGUAGUUUGCGUGGCUUGGUGCUGCAGUAAGUGCUCUGGGAAGUCUCGUCCACCUUCCUGCCUCUGUGUGCAAAAUCUUGGACAGAUGAGCAAAGUGCUGAUUCUGAUUGAAAUGUCUUCAGAGGAGGGAGGCUUCUCAGCGCCAUUUAGCAAUCCUUCCAGAGUUUAGCAGGUCACAGUCAACAGGCUGUCUGUGUGUCCACCUACAAUCCCUCACGCCAGCUUCAGCUCUUUAUUCGGGUUCUGUCCCAAGUGCAGCCUGUUUACUUCCAGGUACCAGAGACUUUCUGAGCAUUUCCUGCGGGCCAGACCCUGUGCCGGGCUUUGAGAGGGUACAUGGUGAGUUUAGGGUGUGCCCAGGUAAUUAAUGCCAUAGACCAAGGUCGAGGGAGAGGGAGACACAAAAUGCUCGAAGGACAGUGAGGUGACAACCAACUGGAGAGAUCAGGGAAGACUUCUUGGAGGAGGUGGCACCUGUGAUGAGCCUGAGAGCACAGAGAUGGGGCAUCCUGACCGAGGAGAGGAAGCCAGGCCACAUCUCCCUUGCUGAUCACAUCGUAUCCCUGCUUGUCUGGAGGACAGAGACAGGGGGAGGAGGUGUGGGCGCCCGGGGCUUUCCUAGCCGAAUCCCAGCAGGGAAUGCAAAUUUUUUUUUUUUCCAACUGCAGCUCUUCAUUGCCCAUUCCCAUCCUGCUCUGGUCCCCCCUGACCUCCAGGAUUUCCCAGCCUUAUUUACAUCUAUAAGCAGAUUCCUAUUUUCUCUUUCCUGAGGUCAUGGCCCUGCUCGCUGUCAUCCCUAUUGAUCUUCCCUCUCUGUUUCUGUUUCAAAUGUCAAGGUCAUCUUUAAUUCUGAGCCAGUUGUUGGAUGCCCCUUCUGGGUGCACAGAGGGGAUGGAGGACCAUCUCUCACAGCUCGUAACGGGACAGCUAGAACUUGGGUGUCCUGGCCGCUAAUCAGGUGCUCUUCCUGCUGUGCUGCUAGGUAGAUGGCUCCUGGGGUCAGUGCAGAAGGUGUUCUAGACCUAAUAGAUCAGCUCGAUCCUGGUGUGCCUGGUGCUUCUUACUUCAGAAGGUGAAAAGAUGCUCAGAAGGACGUUAUGCGGUCAGAUCUGCAGUUGACUGAGCUGGGAGCUGGAUGUGGGCUCUGUCAUGGUGAAUGCCCAGGAACACCUGAGCUGGGAGGCUGGGAGCUUGCCUUCCCUCAGAGUUUCCCCAGAGGACUCAGGGAGGGGCAGGCGAGGGUGCUUGGACCCAUGCCAGGCAACUGAGAUCCUCCAGCAAAGCAGAACCUGUUGGCAAAGGGCUUCUUGACAGCACGUUCCUGUGUGAUUUAUUUUGUAGACUCUGAAAGGGUACCUAAGUUAAUGGAUAAAAGGGAAUCUAGUCAGAUUCUCCCAAAGCCUUUGAAAUGGGAUACUCAGUGUGUCUAUUCUGACAUGUUGGAUGUCCAUGAUAUGGUGUGAGGUCACCCCCACAAGCAGCGUGCAGAGUCUGAUCUCAUUUUUGUCAAGUUCCUUUAAAAUGUAUACCAGUAUGCACACGUAUGCUAGUGAUGCUUAGAAAAAAAAUUGUUCUAGAAGGAUCAUCCAGCAAGCGUGUCAGCAUUUUGGUUAUACACUUUAUAUACUUUUGUAACCUUUGCGACAGUGUAAAGGCACAUGCAUUCCUUUCUUAAUGACCACAGCAAAAAUAAAACCACAGUUUUGAAGCUUCUGGAUAAGAACUUGAAAAAAAUUUGAGUCACCCUUAGGCUGGAAGGGUGGGCCCUUUUAUAAUGGAUGUGAAACUGGCUUGGAGAGUGACAGCAAAGGGUGGAGCCACUCAGGUACUUGUAUUUUCUGGAAAGGUUGCAGGGAGAUUUAUUGCAGACCCUGAGGUCUCCAAGCGAAGGCAUGGACUGGUUGGGGUUGGGUGAGAGCGGAAAAGAGGCAGCUGGCAGCACCCCAGCUCACGCCGGGGCUGCAGACCGAGUUCGCAUUAGAGGGCAGGGACGGGAAGCUCUCAGAUCUGAGCAGGAUGACAAACUGAUCAUCGAGGAUCUUCAGUCUGGUUGCUCUUGUGACCCAAAUGGUCCUGGUGUGGACCUCAGGCGACCCAGCCCUGGCGUAGCCUGGGGAGCCACACCAGGGCAGCCACAUGCAGGGAGGACAAGAUGGCGCUUCAGGAGGCCCUGCCAGGGGCGGAGGGGAGGCCUGGGAAACUCGUCUGGCAUGUGGGCUCAAGCUGUGCCCGACUCUGAUCCGGAGGCCCAGGAGCAGGUGGCAGUGACCCAGGUGACAGGGUGGAGAGGUGAGGAGGGGCGGAUACAAAUUCCUCUGCUGGUUGCUUGGCAACAGUGCCCACCUCCCCCUUCCACAAUCGGGUCUCCCAGCCCCGGGCCAUGGGUGCCAACUUGGAGCUUGCUUUGCCCCCUUUUUGAAGACUGGAAAAAGGGUAUGUGGACUUCUCCAGCCCCGCCCCACCCCGCCUCUGGAGUGAGGCUGGAAGAUAAAUAAAAGGACCAUUAGCAUCAGCAUGGGAGCAAACCUGUCCCUCUGCAGACCGCCCCUUGUCCCAGGUUGCCAGGAGACAGAUGUGCAGGGCACAGAAGUGACCAGAGGGCGGGCAGACCUUGAUUUGCAUCUCAGCCCUGCUACUCC